ensembl:lncRNA
AACCAGGACUAAACCAGGACUAAACCAGGUCUAAACCAGGUCUAAACCAGGACUAAACCAGGACUAAACAAGGUCUAAACCAGGACUAAACCAGGACUAAACCAGGACUAAACCAGGUCUAAACCAGGUCUAAACCAGGAGUAAACCAGGAGUAAACCAGGUCUAAACCAGGUCUAAACCAGGACUAAACCAGGUCUAAACCAGGAGUAAACCAGGAGUAAACCAGGUCUAAACCAGGUCUAAACCAGGACUAAACCAGGUCUAAACCAGGUCUAAACCAGGACUAGACCAGGACUAGACCAGGACUAAACAAGAUCCAAACCAGGAGUAAACCAGGUCUAAACCAGGUCUAAACCAGGACUAAACCAGGACUAAACCAGGACUAAACCAGGUCUAAACCAGGUCUAAACCAGGUCUAAACCAGGACUAAACCAGGUCUAAACCAGGACUAAACCAGGACUAAACCAGGACUAAACCAAGACUAAACCAGAUCUAAACCAGGACUAAACCAGGACUAAACCAGGACUAAACCAGGAC